rnacentral:rRNA from 1 species
CAGUCGCCACGGGAAUACGAAGGGGGCUAGCGUUGCUCGGAAUCACUGGGCGUAAAGGGUGCGUAGGCGGGUUUUUAAGUCAGAGGUGAAAUCCUGGAGCUCAACUCCAGAACUGCCUUUGAUACUGAAAGUCUUGAGUAUGGGAGAGGUGAGUGGAACUGCGAGUGUAGAGGUGAAAUUCGUAGAUAUUCGCAAGAACACCAGUGGCGAAGGCGGCUCACUGGCCCGUAACUGACGCUGAGGCACGAAAGCGUGGGGAGCAAACAGGAUUAGAUACCCGUGUAGUCCCUGUCUCUUAUAC